AUCAUGCAAACGAACUCCAGUUCUACAGAAGAGUCCUUUGCCUGAUUUGAAAAUCUGCUUCGUUGAAAUGUUGUCAUAACAAAGAAAUACGGCCUAUACAAUAGUUCCUGAGCAAUCUAGCAGCAAAUUCAAGGGGACUGAAAAUCAAACCUAACAACAAGACAGAGCCAAGGAACCAUCCUACUGGACUCAAUUCAAAAGAUGGUGUUCCAUUUUGUAGAGAGGUCUCUGAUUGAAAUUUUUGAUGAGACUGUUACAAGGUAAGAGAAUAAAUAACUGGAGGCACAACUAGUAAUUUUGUUACCCAGAAAAAGAAGGAUGUUCAAACAAGUACCAUGAAGCAAUGCCCUUGAGUAAAUUUUGUAGUACAUGAUGUGAAAAUAAUAUAGGAAGUGAUUGAGACAAAUUCAGAAGAGCGAGAAGAGGAAUUCAUCACCAUAGUAGCUCACAAGAGGGUAUUAUUAGCAAUACAA